AGCACUGGUAUAUUCCCCCUAGGGAUCUGUGAAGACAGAAUUUAUUCUACCGCACCAGAAAUGUUUAUCAAAACCCAAGUUAAUUGCCAAAAUAGUGAGACUGCAAACUGAAAAUCCUGAUCAUCCCUAACAGAGCUAACAUAUGAUACCCAUGUUCAACAUAAAUAUAAUGAAAUUUCAGCCAAAGAGAACUGCAAUAUUCCUACAGAAUAUGGUUCCAUCAACAUUUUCCUCAACCGACUGUAGCUUUGGGACCUACUUCUCAUGUGCUGUGGUGGAUGUGAUCAAGCCAAUUCAUGUGCUGAGACGGUCUUUCCAACAUCUAUGGGGUUAAUUUUGCAUCAAAGUCAGAAGGGAAUUGCUGUCAUUUCCAGUACAGGGCAGGAAGGAAAAAGCCAGCACAGAGCUGCUGUUAAUUCAGUGAAGAAACAUUGCUGGAAUACACAAAAUGGACAGGGCGCAGAAUCUGGCUGCAGAGGACAUUUGAGUGGAAGGUACUGGACAUGAGAGAGAGUUAAGGCUGCAUUUGUUAUUCUUUUUAAAUCGUUCUGCCUAAAUUAAGCAAACUCACUUAACAUACAGAUUGUAACUUCUGGGGGAAUUCUGCGCACAAAUUUUAAAAUUUUGCAACUUUCUGCAUAUUUUAUUUGUCAAAACAACACAAUAAAAUCAUGCCGGU
ensembl:lncRNA